ensembl:snRNA U6 U6 spliceosomal RNA
GUGCUCGCUUCGGCAGCACAUACACUAAAAUUGGAACAAUACGGAGAAGAUUAGCAUGGCCGCUGCCCAAGGAUGGCAUGCAAAUUUGUGAAGCAUUCCAUAUUUUU